rnacentral:lncRNA from 1 species
UACUUACAUAUAAUAAAUAAAUAAAUCUUAAAAAAAAAAAAAAAGAAAAAGAAACUUCCGUUGCACAUUUAUAUCUUUGGAGUACUUCUUGUCUGUGCAUGCAAGAGUUCUGUUUCUGAAUGCAAAAGAAAUGUCAGAGAAGUUCUUUGAAUGUUUGUAUUUUUAUUUCAUAAUUCGAACACAGCCCAGAGAGCUAGCAUAUUCAGCUGUACUCUCCAGUGUUAAGUUUUGUGGUUGUCUAGAUAAAACAUAGAUUGUAUAGUAGCUGUUGCAAAGCUUUGCUGUGUGGUUUUCAUAUAAAAUGUCCCCAUAGAUGUAUGUGUUGCACUACUUGACCCCACAGCUGGUAGUGCUGGCUUUGAUAGCUUUGAUGAGAUAGGGCCAUAGUGGAAGAAGUGGGUUUCUGUGGAUAGUCUCAUGUUAUAGCCUGGUUGAGUUGUAGCUUGGCUGAGUUCCUUUUCUUCUUGGAAACGUACAAGCUAUACCUAGCUCCCAGUACCAUAGAGAACAGCUGGGCCUACCCCAGUCAACCACAUCAAGAUACUCGGAACCUGAUGUGCCUCCAGUAGGUAUUUUGUUAGGUUGUUAAGAAAAAUAUUACACUGUCUUUAAUUUGAAUUGUAAAAUGUAUCACUCUUUAAAGAAUUCAGUAGAACAAAAAUCAUAACUUGUUUGUCUUAUGUAAAAACAAUUUAUAUAAGUCAAGUUGCUUAAAGUAAAUUGUACCCAUAGAACCAUAAAUCUGAAAUACAAAAGUGAAAUAAUUGUAACUUUUAAAAGUAUGAGCAGCACUAUUAUAAUACCUACAAUACAAUUAAUUCUAUCCUUCAAAAUGCAUUUAGCAGAUUAUAUCUACAAUUAACUUAAAAGUAUACGUGUAAUCUUAAAAUAUCAGUCCACUUUAAAUUUUCAUAGGCAAAUGCAUUGACUUCAACAAGUAACCCUUGAAUAUCUGUUCAACUUUGUUUGUACAUCAUUACCUAGCAGCUAUUUUAAGAUCACUUUUAAUAAAGCCAAAUGCAGUGGCUCAGUGGUUAAGCGUGCUUGCCCACAGAGAACAACCUGAACUCAUUACGAGGUCAGAAAAAUGGUCAGAGAGAACCAGCAACCAAAAUUGUCCUCUGGCUUGCACAGGAGGGCUUUGGGACACUCAUUCCUGCACUCAUGUACACAGAGACAGUACCAAUAUCAUUAAAACUUUUAAAAGUGCCCAUGUGAUAAGUAUUUCAACUUUAUGAACAUAUUGGAAAUCACUGUCAUUCAUGGGAAUUGACUGAGCUUUUUUCAUGACCAGGUUGAAAAAAAUGAGAUGAAAAAAUAAUGUUUAAGAUCUUAAAAAAAAAUCCUCUUUUUUUUUUUUUUCAAAAAAUGUUCAUAGUCUAUACAAAGAUUUUAAAAUGAAGUUACAGGAGUCAUAGGUUAACAUUUCAUAAUGUAUUUCGAAGACACCCAAGUGACUAAUUGUGAAAUCCCCUCACUGAGUUACUUUGUUUGACUUACCUAUGUCACAGUUUCUACAAUCAACAGAUCAUAUAGAAUCCCGAGCUUACUCUAACAUAUUUCUGUCAUUUAAGAGAUAAUUUACUCUAAUUAACUUUAUAUUUUAUAUUUUUACUGUUUUACUUUUCUUCAGUAUAUUGGAGAAUCACUGUAUACUUAAUGAUUAAGGAUCAGCUGGUUUCAUGACUAAGUGUAGACUUUAAGAUGUAGUAGACAAACUUAAUGGUUACAUACUGG